rnacentral:rRNA from 1 species
UUCGGGUGGGUGUUAGCGGUCCGGCUCUGCUGUGUACUGCUAGUGCCUAUCUUUCUGUCGGGGACGGGCUCUUGGGCUUCAUUGUCCGGGACUCGGAGUCGACGUGGUUACUUUGAGUAAAUUAGAGUGUUCAAAGCAAGCGUUCGCUGUGAAUACAUUAGCAUGGAAUAACACGAUAGGACUCUGGCUUAUCUUGUUGGUCUGUAAGACCGGAGUAAUGAUUAAGAGGGACAGUCGGGGGCAUUCGUAUUUCAUUGUCAGAGGUGAAAUUCUUGGAUUUAUGAAAGACGAACUUCUGCGAAAGCAUUUGCCAAGGAUGUUUUCAUUAAUCAAGAACGAAAGUUGGGGGCUCGAAGACGAUUAGAUACCGUCGUAGUCUCAACCAUAAACGAUGCCGACUAGGGAUUGGCAGGUGUUUCGUUGAUGACCCUGCCAGCACCUUAUGAGAAAUC